CCCCAGAACCUCUCUGUGUGCCCUAGCAGCCCCGACCAUCUCCUCUCUAGCUGGAAUCGCGCGCAUCCGACUGAGCCGCCACCAGUUCGCCGGUCGUUCGUUCGUGGGCCGUCGUUUGCACAGGUCAGCUCAAUCUCGUCAGCAAGCAGCGAUCAUCAAGAUCUUCUUCGCCGCGCGCCGAUCUCGCCCAUCUUGUCAGAUUUGCGUCCAUGCUGCCGUCGUCCCAACCGCUUGACCAUUGCGUGCCGCCCCCAUCUCCCAGCAGCUCGAGCCACCACCGUAAGAUCCAAACACACCGCAUCUAUUCGACAGAGUCGUCUGCGUCGGUGGUGCCGUCGUCGCCGCCUCCAACCGAUCUCUUCCACCACCCAUCGCUGCACUGGCCAGCCCUUGUUGUGUGGGUCUUUGUCAGACUCUUUGAUUUAGAUAAGAUCUAUUUUUCUGUUGGGUUAAGUUUCUUGAAGGAUUUUUGGAUGCCCAUUAACUUGGAAUGGAAGUUAAAUUUGUCGCAUUAUUUUGACUUUAGAUUUGAGCAUGGGAAACUACUCAAGAGGCUGUCCAGCGGAUUCGAGAUUAUUCAAUAAGAGUUGUGGUUCUUAUUAUUGGUUUUUGGGUAUGCAUUGAUUACUGGAUUAAAUGUUGACUUAACUCGUAUAUCUUGAAGGUUCCAAGUCGUUGUCCAUUUGGAUUUAAAAUCUGUUAAGAGGAGAUUUUGGAGUCGAAAUCUUGGGAGUGUUUGUUGAUCAAGUUUCGUUGGGGUUGUUACAUCAAAUUGCUGUCAUCGUUUGGUUGCCUGAUUUUAUCUGUGGAUUUUCGAUUAAGGUAAGUAAUCUUACUACUGGAACUGCCCUAGUGCCAGGAAAUGAUAUUUAUGAUUUAUUGAGGAUUAUUAGUUAGCAUGAUAUUUAUAUAUGCCUUCAUUGACUGAGGUUUGAAAGGACUGGUGCCAGGUAUUGAUAAAUAUGAUUUACUAAGGAUAUAUUGAUAGUUUGAUGUUUAUGUAUACCUUGUUGACAUGAGGGUUUAAAAGACUAAUUGCACAUAGAGAUGGUUGAAUACUAGUAUGAAUUGAGUAUAUUAUUGUUAUUGGAGAUCUUGUUGAAUCUGAAGAUGAUGAGAUGCAUACGUAUGUUAUAGAGCUAUGAUGAAGAAAUUUAUAUGUAUGUUAUAGAACCAUGAUGAUGAGAUGUAUAUGUAUGUUAUGAGACUAGGAUGACGAGAGAUAUAUGUAUGUUGUAGAAUUAUGAUGAUGAGAUGUAUAUGUAUGUUAUAGAAUCAUGUUGUGAUACUUGUGAUGUUGAGAGUAUGAUAGUGUCCUUGCUGAUUAGUUAGAUAUUCAUCCGAGGUUGUGUUUCCUUCGGGAUUCACCAGAGGUUGUGUUUCCUUUAGGAUUCACUAGGGGUUUUGUUUCUUUCGGGAUUCACCAAGGGUUGUAUUUUUUUCGGGAUUCACCAGGGGUUAUGUUUCCUUCAGGAUUCGUCAGGGGUUGUGUUUCCUUUGAGAUUCACCAGAGGUUGUGUUUCCUACGGGAUUCACCAGAGGAUGUGGGUCCUACGGGAAUUACUAGAGAUAGUGGGCAUACUUAACUAGUGUAGGAUGAAAGUCCGUUAUUCAUGUAUGUAUAUGUACCAUGAGGACUAGAGAAGUUUAUAUGUUCCACCAGAGGUAGGAAACUGGAGGACAUAGAUGCCUAGCUUGACCCCAGUAGUGGGGUUACUUACUGAGUAUUUUAUACUCAUUCUUUCUCAUGUUGUUGUUUCAAGUAAAGGUAGAGAUGCACCGACGAUUGACAAGCAGAAUCCGAGGACCCAUUUUAUGCUUCCACUCAUGAUAUUUAAAUUUCUUUUCAUGUUUUCAACUUUCCGUUUUGAUGUUUGAAACUUACUAUCAAGAUUUGUUUUCAGACUUAUUUAUUAUCAUUUAUGAUUUAUGGGUACCCCAUCGUUCCAUGCAUGCAUGUAUUUAGUAACGACCCAACUUGAGUCUUAGGGGGUUGGGUCGUUACAACACCCCACUAGCUUUAGAAUAAGUGGGAGAUUGUUGGGGUUGAUGCCCUGAAUCUUGUGGUUUUAUAGUUUUAAAUUGUAUUGUACAAACAUUUUAUUUAUCUAACAAAAUAAGAGGUAUUUUAUUUGACAUUUAGUUGCAUUAACCUACAAAAACCAAUAAACUAAGAUCUAGGGUUAUUUUCUGUAAGUUAAACAUGUAUGUAGAGACAUAUCGGUGGAUCAUGUUUAAGUGAUAAUCUAAAUGGUCAGUAGUAGACGGAUAAGGUUGAGUAUCUUAUCUGAGUGCACUACGAAACGACCUGCCUUGUAGUUGUUACAAUUGUUGUAAAGUGUUACAAAUGAUCUGAUCCUAAUCAUUCAUGUAGAGACAUGUGAGUGGAGUAUACUAUACAAAGAGUAGGUAUAAGACCGGACCACGAAAUGAAUAGUCUCUAUAUAUAACACUAUUGUUAGUAGAGACUUACAUUUCAUCAAGAUGACCAUAUGUGACUUGACCUGAAUCUUGAGUGAGUUAUAGGAUGACCAUAGGUGUUGUGAUGAGAUCCUUUGUCUCUCAAAUCAAGAACAUUCAUCCCAUUCCAAAUUAAUCUUGAAACCCGCAAACUCUCAAAGAUUCUCUACCUCGAGAAUAUCGAGGUUUCUACAUGAAGGUGUCUAGUUUAUUGAGAAAUUUGAUGUGUUUUUUGGUUGCUCGUGAAUUCGAAUGGAAUUCGAAGAGUUCACAAUUUCAAGAGGAUCGUGAAGUUAUUAUUAUUUUUUUUUGUCUUUAAGGGCAUGUGAUCCUCAAAUCUCUUUUUCCUCUUUAAUUUCUAUAAAUAAACAUGCUUAUUAGAUUAUGUAUAUAUUGUUUCCGUCCUCUGUGUUUUCUGUAUGUUCUAUAAAAUUAGAAUUGGGAGAUGAUCGCUUUCGCAAUGUGUAUUCGCAUAUCAUUUCACAAAGUGUGGUGGUGGUGGAAGUAUAACCCUUUUAUCAAACGUGCAUGCCGCCGUCGCCAUUUGUCCGACUAGAUGGGUUUAGGUAACCGCACUUGUUUGAGUAAUGCAACACGGUUUUUUUUUUCGUGUUCGGGUUUAGACGACUCUAAGGUGGUUUGUGAUGGUUUUUGUCAUUGUCACAAAUGUUAUCUUAUCGUCUAUCUUUGACACUAUUAAUUCCUGCUGUAAUUUUUUCUUUCCUUAUCUUGAAAUUUUCUAUAGAUUUUUUUUGUCCGAUAUAUUUUCCUUAUUUGAGGCACUGUUUAUUAUUUUCUAAUUGAUGGUUGCUUCCUUUUUUUGCCAUGGUUUUAAAAAGGAAAAUAAUGGUGUUCAUUUAGGGUUGCUGCACUUUAUUAUAGUUGAAGAGUGUUUUUAUUUUUGGUGGCCGAAUUGUGUAACCAUUCUGUUUUUAGUCCAUUCAUCAUAUUUCGCUAUGCAAUUGCAUUGAUUGAAAAUUGUAAUUCCUUAAAGAUAAUUUAUGCCUUAGUGGGAACCUAAGGCACUACAGUUGAGAAGGAAUUCUUGAUCCUAGGGACAGACUAAGACUUCGUUUUUCGAGAAAGAGUUCUUCAUCUUAGGGAGUACCUAAGAUUCAUCAGUGAAUGGAGUUCAUUGAGAAGCAGAGAAUAUAAUAAAGUUGGAAGUGAGUUUCACACACUGUUGGAGGCCGAUGUGAUCAACACUAAUAAUAACAUAUUUAGGGGGAGUCUAAGUUCGUUUGCGAGGGAGUCUCACAUCUAAGGGGAACCUAGAUGAUCGGUGAGUUGGGCUCCACGUGAGUUGUUGUAAUAGUUGUUGUAUUGUAGAUAAGUUCUAUGUUGUAAUUGCUUGACUCUUUAAUAUUAGUAGAUUUUCACCAAACUGGGUUACGAACUUCCUUAUGUCUUUACUUGAUUUCUUGUUGUUGGUAUUUUGUUCUCACAAUGUUUGUCUUUGCUUUUUGUUUAACAUCUGUGUUCUUAAUGACGAGUCAUCUUAUAGCUUUUUCAAUAGCUAUUUUCAUUUUGGAUAAUGUUUGAGGUUAGGCUUAGUACUUCUACAGUGGAUUUAUUGUUUUGGAGUAAUGAAAUUUAUACUUUUGUUGAUGCAUGGUUUGUAAGUUUCCGUAUUUUCUUUAAUAUCCUAUUUUUCUCAUUGUUGAUGGUAAAAAACAAUCACAACUUUUAUGUUAUAUGGAGCUUAUAUUGAUGGGCAAAAAUCAUCAAUGAAGGUUAUGAGGCAUAUGUUGAGGGACAAAACUAGUCACCAAAGGUCUUUUUUCAUGUCAGGCAUUGCCUGUGAACGUUUAGUUGAAUUAUUAAAGGGGGAAAUCUUCUCUUCAAACCACGUUCUUGUAGCUAGCAUCUAGAAAAGUCAUUUCUCACUACAAGAAAAUUGAGCUAUUUCGACAAUCUUUUAUCGGAGGCUAUAAAAAACCUUUGAGAAAGAUAAAUAUAUUUAUUGAAGGUAUUGGAAAAACCUUUGAGAAAUAUGUACUUUUUAUUGAAGGUUAAUAAAAACAUUUGAAAAAGAUAUAUAUUUAUUGGAGGUUUUGAAAAAAACUUUGAGAAAUAUUUAGUUUUUAUCGAAGGAUAAUAAAAGCCUUAGAGAAACACAUACAUUUAUCAGAGGCUUUGAUAAGUCCUUUGAAAAAUAUGCACCUUUUAUUGAAGGUUAAUAAAAAAAUUUGAGAAAGAUAUACAUUUAUUGAAGGUAUUGGAAAAACCUUUGAGAAAUAUGUACUUUUUAUUUAUUAGAGGUUUUGAAAAAACCUUUGAGAAAUAUGUAGUUUUUAUCGAAGGGUAAUAAAAACCCUUGCCAAAGACAUACAUUUGUCGGAGGCUUUGAUAAUUCAUUUGAAAAAUAUGCAUCUUUUAUUGAAUGUUAAUAAAAACCUUUGAGAAAGGCUAGGAUCGUGAAGAUGCGUUAGACGGUCGUGAAGAUGCACGCAGUGUUAAACGAUGAGGAAUGACGCACUAGACGAUCGGGCUAUACGAUAGACAAAGUACUGCACGAUCAGUGAAAGCACUAGACGAUAGCUGUGCUGCGCUAAACGAUGAGCAGACACGCUACACAAUAGGCAGAAUACUAAGCGAUGGGCGUUGGGCGAUAGACGUAGGCAUGGGGUGAUGACGUUAAGCGAUAGGCGGAUGCGUUAGACAAUUGUGAAGAUGCGUGCGACAUUAAAUGAUGACGAAUGACGUGCUAGACGAUCAGAUUAUACGAUAGGCAAAGAACUGCACGAUCAGUGAAAGCGCUAGAUGAUAAGCAUAGAAGCUGGACGAUAGCGUUAGACGAUAGCCGUGCUAUGCUAAACGAUGACCAGAUGCGCUAUACCAUAGGCAGAAUACUAAGUGAUGGGUGUUGAGCGAUAGACGUAGGCGCUGGGCGAUGACGUUAAACGAUAGGCAGAUGCGUUAGACGAUAAGGCGUCAGCGUUAAAUGAUGGAGGUAAACGAUGGGCGCGAUAGCUAAACGAUAGGCUAUGCACAAGUGAUAUUUAUUUAUUUUUAUUCUGGAAGAAUAGUCAAAUUUAUUAUAGUUUUGGGAAUUAUUACAAAAUAUGCAUUUGUAAUAAUUUAGAAAAGAAAACAAAAAAACCACUAGGGUUUUUAUUUGGGAAUUAUUAUAGAUAGUUAGUGAUUUUUUAGCAUAUGGAAACUUAUCUGGUUGGAAUACAAGUGGUACUUUAGCUUGUCCUUCAUGCAAUUUUGAUACUCGUUCACUUUAUUUUAAAAAUAGUAAAAAGAUGUGCUACAUGGGUCAUCGUCGUUUCUUACCCAUAGAGCAUGAAUGGAGACUACAACGAGAGUUGUUCGAUGGGUUUAUUAAAGAAAAUCUACCUCUUAAGAAUUUUUCUGGAAGUAAUAUACUUGAACAAGUGAACCAAUUUGGAGAACAUGUAUUUGGCAAUAGUGUGAAAAAGAGAAAACGUUCUAAAGAUUGGCUAAAGAAAAGCGUAUUCUUUGAGCUACCUUAUUGGUGCACUUUAUUACUACGACACAAUUUAGAUGUCAUGCAUAUUAAAAAAAAUGUUUCUGAAAACGUAAUCAGUACAUUAUUGAAUAUUAAAGGGAGGACUAAAGAUAAUUUGAAGUCUCGUCUUGAUCUUGAAGAAAUGGAUCUAAGAAAGGAAUUGCAUCCAAUACAAGAAGAAAACAAAUUAUACUUACCAGCUUCAUGUUGUACAUUGUUAUCAGAUGAAAGAAAUGCAUUUUGUGAGUAUUUGAAGAAAUUAAAAGUUCCAGAUGGAUUCUCUUCUACUGUUGGAAGGUGUGUCGAUCUAAAAGGAAGAAAAUUAUUUGGUCUUAAAAGUUGUGACUACCAUAUUAUUAUGGAAUAUUUUCUUCCAUAUGCACUUCAAGGGUUGAUGAGAAAGGAAGUUCGAGAUGUAUUAAUUAAAUUGAGCAAUUUUUUUAAGAUAUUGUGCUCAAAAGUGGUUAAAGUGGACGAUAUAAAUCUUCUUCCUCCGUCGUUCUUUGAUAUAAUGGUGCAUUUAUUAAUCCAUUUACCAAAUGAGAUUAGAGUUGGUGGAUUAGUUCAGUAUAGGUGGAUGUACCCAUUUGAAAGGUAUUUAAGUAAGUUAAAAACUUAUGCACGCAAUCGAGCUCAUCCUGAAGGUUCUAUUGCAGAAGGUUAGAUCAGCAAUGAAUGUGUAAUGUUGUGUACUAGAUAUUUUCACACCAUAGAAACUAAGUUCACCAAUAGAGAAGAAAUGAAGAUAAUGAUUAUAAUCCUUAUGAAGGAAUAUUAUCUUUAAACCACUUGGUCAUCCUAUGGGACCAGACAAAUAAACAAGAAGGCUAAAAAUACAUAAGUGGAAACAAGCUCAUCUCUAUAUUUUAAAGAACUGUGAUGAUGUCCUCCCAUAUAUUAGGUAUGUAAAAGUUUUCUUAUUGAUAAUUUUUUUAAAAUAUUUUAAAAUAGAAUCUAAAGUAACUUUCUAAUUUUUUAGUGAGGACAUACAAGGAUUAUAACAUCUUGACCCUAGAAACGCACAAAAAAAAGCAUGAUAAAGAGUUUGUAGAAUGGUUUGAAGAUCAUGUAAGUGAGAAAAGACAACAGUUAUGAUAUAUAUUCAUCUAUACAAUUUCUAUUCAUUUUAAAAUUUGAUACUAUUUUCUAUGUAUGUUACUAAAUUAUAUAUCGAUGGAAGCAACAAAGUUGACAAGUAGUUAUUAGAUUUAACUCGAGGUCCAUCACAAGAAGUAACAUGCUACAAAGGGUACAUUAUUAAUGGAUUUAGAUUUCGUAUCAAGAAUGGUGAUGAUUUAAGAAAAACACAAAAGAGUGGGAUAGUAAUGAGAGGAGCUGAUGAUCAAGAGUACUUUGGUGUAUUGCAUGAUAUUAUUGAAUUGAAAUAUAUGGGUGGAAACAAGGUCGUCUUUUUUCAAAUUAUUUCUGAAAUGAAAUCAAAGAAAAUACUAAAUAAUAAGCCAAUGAUUUUUUUUCCGUGUUUCAGAAUCGAAUUGGCUUAAAUAGUCAUGAUCUUGCCACUAUGUCAACGCUCCGUAUCCUUCGCGGCCGCCAAUAGGUCUAUGCCCCUUUUACCCCUUAUCACCGGAGACUUGAAGUAAGGAAUUCACCUAGAGCUUCUAUAAAAAAAAGAGGGCAAGUAAAAAUUCAAAUGGUAGAAUAUCAACGGUCUUGGUAAAGGAAUUAGUUGAUGAUCAUGGACUAACUAGUGUGAAUAUAAUGUACACAUUGGCUGCAAAUGAGCCAUUUGUAUUAGCAUGCCAAUUUGAACAAGUUUUUUACCUUGAAGAUAGAAGAAACCCGGUUUGGUAUUUUGUGUUGAAAGUUGAUCCAAGAGAUUAUUACAAUAUCCCUUUGAUCAUAGAUGAAGAUUGUCAAGAAGAAGAUGACGAAGAAGACGUAAAUAGAGCAAUUUAAUUCUUAAUUUUUUUGUCUAUCAUUUAUGUUAGUUCAUUAUUUGUGUAAAGGAUGAAAAAAGUAAGAAGCAGAUUCAACAACAAUAAUAGUAUAGAUAGUCACGAGAAUGCUACGAUUGCAUCUACAUCUAACCAAAUAGUUGAAGAUCAACAAUAUUCAAUAAAAUCUAAAGUUGGUUUACAAACUUCAUCAUCGUUUACGGGAGAAAUUAGAUCAACUACUAGUCAUGAAAAAUUUCUUAAUAGAGAAUCUUCUUUUGGAGUAAGAAAAGUAUGUGGUCCCACACGAAAUCUCAACCUAGUUAAACUACCUCAUGUGAUUAGAUUUGAAGUAUCGUGGAGGAAGAAACGACCCGUUGGAGAUAAUGCUGAUAUCUUUAAAAGCCAAUGCACUAUCUUAGCUAGACAAGUCAACUUUACUCCUCUAUAAGUAAAAAGUUGGAGAGAUAUUGAUACAACAACAAAAAGGAAACUAUUUGAGCUUACAUUGGUAUGUGAAAAAAUUAUAAUUUUUUUUUCCUUUAAUUUACUUCCUACAUAAUUAGAUUACAACUACAAUUU